AUUGAACGCUGGCGGCAUGCUUUACACAUGCAAGUCGAACGGUAACAGGCCUUCGGGUGCUGACGAGUGGCGCACGGGUGAGUAAUGCAUCGGAACGUGCCCAGAGGUGGGGGAUAACGCAGCGAAAGCUGUGCUAAUACCGCAUGUGAUCUGAGGAUGAAAGCGGGGGACCAAGCAGCAAUGUUUGGCCUCGCGCCUCUGGAGCGGCCGAUGUCAGAUUAGGUAGUUGGUGGGGUAAAGGCCUACCAAGCCGACGAUCUGUAGCUGGUCUGAGAGGACGACCAGCCACACUGGGACUGAGACACGGCCCAGACUCCUACGGGAGGCAGCAGUGGGGAAUUUUGGACAAUGGGCGCAAGCCUGAACCAGCAAUGCCGCGUGCGGGAAGAAGGCCUUCGGGUUGUAAACCGCUUUUGUACGGAACGAAAAGGCUCUGGCUAAUACCUGGGGCUGAUGACGGUACCGUAAGAAUAAGCACCGGCUAACUACGUG
rnacentral:rRNA from 1 species